GCUUCUCUCUCGAUCUAUUUAAUAUGGUGGUCAGUCAAGAAAUGUUUUUGCUUGCAAAAAGAUCGUAAAAUGUUGGCGCUACAAACUCGGAAAAGAUUGUAAAUGAGAUCAGGAUAACAAGAAGGAAGUAUCCAAACAAAUUCAAAGAUGACUAAUUUUAACAUGGUUCAUAAGAAAGUCCUUCCUUGAAAACCUACCUCAGUCACUGGUCGUCUGAUGGCGAUUAAUAUGGAAUCUCAUGAACGGUUGUUUAUCACUGAAGCUAAAGAAUUGAGAUACAACAAUCUUUGACUGACUUUAGGUGUGGCGAUCGAAGGUGGACAGCAAGAUCGAAGCUCAGCAAGAUUGAAGAUUGUUCGAGGAAGAAGGAGUUCGCCGUUGACUAAAAGGUUUAUCUGAACAGCUAGUUGUCAAGAUGAAUGUGAAGACUCGCCCGGCCAAAUUCAAAAUGGCGAUGCCAAAGAAAACCAUCCACGUGGAGCGUUCGCGGACCUUUCUGAGCAAGAUUGUUGUGCUGUCUGGUCAAAGUUAGCCAGUUAUCAAGACGAACGUCAAGAGAACAGUUGA